UGACCUAUUCAACUCCUCACCAGUCAGCUGCUGUGGCCUCUCUGUUUCCCUCCCUAGGACUCUCAGGAUUCCUUCCAAAGAAAGGGAAUGGACUCCAAUCCUGGGCUGGGUCUGCUUCUGUAACAAGAUCUGCAUGCCAUUUUGAUAAAGCCUGAAUCAACCUGGAAGCAGAUUCCUCCCUGUCACAGUUCUGCCGAGACCACAGUCCCACAAUGCUUUGCACAGCCAGAAGACCCAAGCCCAGUUGGCCUCACAGAAAUGGUGACACAGGGCUUUGGACUUCUGCCAGUUCUCCUGUAGGAAGCCCAGACUACCAUGCUUAUACCAUCCUGCAGAGAGCCACACUGUGGGAAGCAGAGACGCACCAUUUCUCACCAGUGAUCCCAGACCAGCUAGUCCACAAGAGCCCAGUAACAGGCCAAAGAUACCCAAGUGAGUCAGCUGGGAGCAAAGGAGUCACCCAGCCAAGCCCGACCUGCAUGGCUGAUUGUCUCUGUAUGUGGUCCUGGCUCUCCUGGCUCCCGAGAUACAGAACAUCUGGCCUCGAACUCACAGAGAUCCUACUGCCUCUGCCUUCUACUGUUGGGAUUAGAGGUGUGUGUCACCAUGCCUAGCCCAUCCUUGUACCUAUUAGGAGUUUAGCUUCUGGCUGGAUUACCCAUCUCAGAGUGAAGUAAAGAUGGCAGCUUGUUCUCUACUGUCAGACAAGGACUUUAGCAAAAUCGGCCCCCCUAGCUCCAGUCUUCUGGAAGAUUCUUACCACACCCUAAAGAGCCCACAGGAACCCUGACAUGUUUAAAUUGCUGACAAGGUGGGUGUGGAGGAAGCAGAUAUAAUGAAGAAGAAACCUUUCUUCUACAAGAAAGAGAAACCUUAGGCUCUUGCUGAGACAACAGGGAAGGAGCCCAGAGAGCAGGAUCCCACGGAAGAGUCACACAGGAUGUGGACACUGAUCAGACCUGACCUGGCCUGGUCUUUGACUUUGCCUGUGUUAUCACGCCUGGGGUUGGAACUGCCCCACCCCCACCCAUGAAGACUCCGGCGCAUGAAGACUCCGGCGCCCUUUCCAGGAAAUAUACAGACAAGAGCAGGAAACUGUUGAGUCGCCUAUUUUUCUUUCCCUGCAAAAUGGUUUUAUUAUUUUCGUUGAACAAAAACAUCCUAAUGUAUUGAGGAUGGAGAAGAGAAAGACACCCAGACCUUAAAAUAGACUCAAUACGCCUGUACUUUUGGCUGGAGCAUCCUUGCCUGUAUCCUGGGAAAGGAUAUCUGAAAAACUGGAACUCCACCCAUUCUGCCCUCUAGGUUUGAGCUGUCGAAACUCCCUGGUGGCAAAAGGGCACUCUAGAUCAGGGGAAGCAGCCUUCGAAACAGCCUUGUGGCUGCUCUGGGGGGCCCUGUGGUUUCUCUUUAGCCAGCUGGGGGACCUUGAGUAAAUGACCCAACCCCUCUGAUACUCUGUGUAACGUGGGGAAGACAAGAGAGUUCUAUCUUCCUUUACUCUCUUUCUUUGCUCUGUCCCUUAUCCAUAGGCUGUUUCCCACAAGUCUGAAGGCACCAGUGCUACAGAUGGAGGUGUGUGUAAAUUUGGUUCCAUUGCUGUGUACCCACUGUGAUAACAUGGAUGCAGUGGUGGUACCACACUCGGAUGGCGCCACAGUUUAUAUAUGUGUCUGUAUGCAUAAUAUAAUGUGUGUGUAUAAUAUAUGUAUGCAUAUACACAUCUACUAUCUAUCUAUAGAUAUAUAAUAUGCAUAUGCUC
ensembl:lincRNA